UUAGAGUUUGAUCCUAGCUCAGGAUGAACGCUGGCGGCGUGGAUAAGGCAUGCAAGUCGAACGGACUUCAUUUUUCCAGAGAUGCGAUUAUAUCAAGUCAAAGGUCGUUUGAAGUUAGUGGCGAACGAGGUAGUAAUACAUAGGAACUUCCCUCAAAGUCGUGAAUAAUUCGUCGAAAGACGGACUAAUACACGAUAGUCCCUCAGGGGUAAAGUUUUAACGCUUUGAGAAAGGCCUAUGCGAUAUCAGCUAGUUGGUAGUGUAAUGGACUACCAAGGCUAUGACGUCUAGGGGAGGUGAGAGCCUGACCCCCACCGAUGGUACUGAGACACGGACCAUACACCUACGGGUGGCUGCAGUCGAGAAUCUU
rnacentral:rRNA from 1 species